rnacentral:rRNA from 1 species
GAUGAACGCUGGCGGCGUGCCUAAUACAUGCAAGUCGAGCGAACAGACGAGGAGCUUGCUCCUUUGACGUUAGCGGCGGACGGGUGAGUAACACGUAGGUAACCUACCUAUAAGACUGGGAUAACUUCGGGAAACCGGAGCUAAUACCGGAUAAUAUUUCGAACCGCAUGGUUCGAUAGUGAAAGAUGGCUUUGCUAUCACUUAUAGAUGGACCUGCGCCGUAUUAGCUAGUUGGUAAGGUAACGGCUUACCAAGGCAACGAUACGUAGCCGACCUGAGAAGGUGAUCGGCCACACUGGAACUGAGACACGGUCCAGACUCCUACGGGAGGCAGCAGUAGGGAAUCUUCCGCAAAGGGCGAAAGCCUGACGGAGCAACGCCGCGUGAGUGAUGAAGGUCUUCGGAUCGUAAAACUCUGUUAUUAGGGAAGAACAAACGUGUAAGUAACUGUGCACGUCUUGACGGUACCUAAUCAGAAAGCCACGGCUAACUACGUG